ACAACAACUUGUGAGCAUGUGCAGUAGAAGAAGACAACGAAGAAGAAGAAGAAAACUGAGCUGCAGCUCCACUCUGCUGAGCAGUCGAGAAGGAGAAGAAAAAAAAAGGCUGUGAGCAGAAGGCCGCUGACGACAUCUCGCCAUCGCUUCCCGAUCUGUAGCCUGUGUUUACUUGUCUUCUGGGGGUCAAGCCCAACCCAACGUGCAAUCAGGAAGUGUCUCACCAAUCACUGGACAUGGGCAACAAUACAGGGGAUCCUCAGUGUCAGUAUCUGGAGGUGUUCCUCAGGGUGACACCGAAGUAACACCACAUCCAGAAGAACUUGAAACUUGAAGGCCAG